AGAGUUUGAUCCUGGCUCAGAACGAACGCUGGCGGCGUGCUUAACACAUGCAAGUCGAGUGCGCGCCUGUAGCAAUACAGGUGGCGCACGGCGCACGGGUGCGUAACACGUGGGUAAUCUGCCCUUCGAUGGGGAAUAACUCCGGGAAACCGAAGCUAAUUCCGCAUAACAUUCCUUGAACUUCGGUUUGGGGAUUCAAAGCCGUAAGGCGUCGGAGGAGGAACCCGCGCACGAUUAGCUAGUUGGUAGGGUAACGGCCUACCAAGGCUUUGAUCGUUAGCUGGUCUGAGAGGAUGGCCAGCCACACUGGAACUGAGACACGGUCCAGACUCCUACGGGAGGCAGCAGUGGGGAAUCUUGCACAAUGGGCGAAAGCCUGAUGCAGCGACGCCGCGUGGGGGAUGAAGCUUUUCGGAGUGUAAACCCCUUUCGACCCGGACGAAUGCCCCGCAAGGGGACUGACGGUACGGGUAUAAGAAGCCCCGGCUAACUACGUGCCAGCAGCCGCGGUAAGACGUGGGGGGCCAGCGUUGCUCGGAAUUACUGGGUGUAAAGGGUUCGUAGGCGGUGUAGCAAGUCGGGAGUGAAAUCUCUGGGCUCAACCCAGAGACUGCUUCCGAAACUGCUGUGCUUGAGUGUGGGAGAGGCGCGUGGAAUUGCAGGUGUAGCGGUGAAAUGCGUAGAUAUCUGCAGGAACACCCGUGGCGAAAGCGGCGCGCUGGACCACUACUGACGCUGAGGAACGAAAGCUAGGGGAGCAAACAGGAUUAGAUACCCUGGUAGUCCUAGCCCUAAACGAUCAGGACUUGGGGUGCCGCACGUUCGUGCGUCGUCCCGGAGCUAACGCGUUAAGUCCUGCACCUGGGGAGUACGGUCGCAAGACUGAAACUCAAAGGAAUUGACGGGGGUCGC
rnacentral:rRNA from 1 species